AUUGAACGCUGGCGGCAUGCUUUACACAUGCAAGUCGAACGGCAGCACGGACUUCGGUCCGGUGGCGAGUGGCGAACGGGUGAGUAAUACAUCGGAACGUACCCAGUAAUGGGGGAUAACUAUCCGAAAGGAUAGCUAAUACCGCAUACGCCCUACGGGGGAAAGAGGGGGAUCGCAAGACCUCUUGUUAUUGGAGCGGCCGAUGGCUGAUUAGCUAGUUGGUGAGGUAAAGGCUCACCAAGGCGACGAUCAGUAGCGGGUCUUAGAGGACGAUCGGCCACACUAGAACUGAGAGACGGUCCAGACUCCUACGGGAGGCAGCAGUGGGGAAUCUUGGACAAUGGGCGCAAGCCUGAUCCAGCAAUGCCGCGUGCGUGAAGAAGGCCUUCGGGUUGUAAAGCGCUUUUGUCAGGGAGCAAAAGGUGGUGGCUAAUAUCCAUCGCUCUUGAGAGCACCUGAAGAAUAAGGACCGGCUAACUACGUGCCAGCCGCCGCGGUAACAC
rnacentral:rRNA from 1 species